UCUUUUUGAAAAUNANAUAAAGUCAAAUCUGCCCNCUGANNUUNUUUAAAGGGCUGCNGUAUAUUGACUGUACAAAGGUAGCAUAAUCAUUAGUCUUUUAAUUGAAGACUUGUAUGAAUGAUUNGAUGAGAUAUAAGCUGUCUCUUUAUUAAUAUUAGAAUUUAAUUUUUUAGUUAAAAAGCUAAAAUAAUUAUAAAAGACGAGAAGACCCUAUAGAGNUUAAUAUUUUUAUAAAUNUAAAUUUUAUANAAAAUUUUAAAUUUAAAUUUAUGGAAAUAUUUUAUUGGGGGGAUGGAAAAAUUUAUUAAACUUUUUUUAAAAUAAAAACAUUAAUAUAUGAUUAUAUGAUCCAUAAUUUAUGAUUAUAAGAAUAAAUUACCUUAGGGAUAACAGCGUAAUUUUUUUUUUUAGUUCGUCUAAAAAUUAAAGUUCGCNACCUCGAUGUUGGAUUAAGAUCNAAUUUAAAUGCNANAGUUUAAAAUUUUGACCUGUUCCANCNUUNAAANCNUNCA
rnacentral:rRNA from 1 species